GGCGCAGUGCCCGAGUAGCCCAAGGGACGUGAUUGCAAAUCACGACAGUCGUGGGUGCAAAUCCCACCUGCGCCUCCA
rnacentral:tRNA from 1 species